rnacentral:rRNA from 1 species
ACGACGCUGGCGGCGUGCCUAAUACAUGCAAGUCGAACGGUCUUUCUAUGGAAGCUUGCUUCCACUGAGAAGAUAGUGGCGAACGGGUGAGUAACACGUGGGUAACCUGCCCAUAAGAGGGGGAUAACAUCCGGAAACGGGUGCUAAUACCGCAUAGUUUUCUUGAUUGCAUGAUUGAGAAAGGAAAGACGGCCUUUGUGCUGUCGCUUAUGGAUGGACCCGCGGCGUAUUAGUUAGUUGGUGAGGUAACGGCUCACCAAGACGAUGAUACGUAGCCGACCUGAGAGGGUGAUCGGCCACAUUGGGACUGAGACACGGCCCAAACUCCUACGGGAGGCAGCAGUAGGGAAUCUUCCGCAAUGGACGAAAGUCUGACGGAGCAACGCCGCGUGAGUGAAGAAGGUUUUUCGGAUCGUAAAACUCUGUUGUCAGAGAAGAACAAGUUGGAGAGUAACUGCUCCAGCCUUGACGGUAUCUGACCAGAAAGCCACGGCUAACUACGUGCCAGCAGCCGC